GUCCACGCCGUAAACGAUGGAUACUAGCUGUUCGGGCAACCUGAGUGGCUAAGCGAAAGUGAUAAGUAUCCCACCUGGGGAGUACGUUCGCAAGAAUGAAACUCAAAAGGAAUUGACGGGGGCCCGCACAAGCGGUGGAGCAUGUGGUUUAAUUCGAUGAUACGCGAGGAACCUUACCAAGGCUUAAAUGUAGAUUGACAGGUUUGGAAACAGACUUUUCUUCGGACAAUUUACAAGGUGCUGCAUGGUUGUCGU
rnacentral:rRNA from 1 species